GACGAAGGGGGCUAGCGUUGUUCGGAAUUACUGGGCGUAAAGCGCGUGUAGGCGGUUGUCCAAGUUGGAUGUGAAAGCCUUGAGCUUAACUCAAGAAAUGCAUUCAGGACUGGAUGACUAGAGGACCGGAGAGGAUAGUGGAAUUCCCAGUGUAGUGGUGAAAUACGUAGAGAUUGGGAAGAACACCAGUGGCGAAGGCGGGUCUCUGGACAGUUCCUGACGCUGAGGCACGAAGGCCAGGGGAGCAAACGGG
rnacentral:rRNA from 1 species